AACGAGCGCUGGCGGCAUGCCUAACACAUGCAAGUCGAACGAGAUCUUCGGGUCUAGUGGCGCACGGGUGCGUAACGCGUGGGAAUCUGCCCUUUGGUUCGGAAUAACAGUUGGAAACGACUGCUAAUACCGGAUGAUGACGAAAGUCCAAAGAUUUAUCGCCAGAGGAUGAGCCCGCGUAGGAUUAGCUAGGUGGUGUGGUAAAGGCGCACGAAGGCGACGAGCCUUAGCUGGUCUGAGAGGAUGAUCAGCCACACUGGGACUGAGACACGGCCCAGACUCCUACGGGAGGCAGCAGUGGGGAAUAUUGGACAAUGGGCGAAAGCCUGAUCCAGCAAUGCCGCGUGAGUGAUGAAGGCCUUAGGGUUGUAAAGCUCUUUUACCCGGGAUGAUAAUGACAGUACCGGGAGAAUAAGCUCCGGCUAACUCCGUGCCAGCCGCCGCCGUAA
rnacentral:rRNA from 1 species